UUGCGGAACAAAAUUUUUGACGCGUUAAAGCAAAAUACCACGUUCUUCUUUGCCAAAACCCUAGCCACUCCUCCCUCUCUCGCCAUUUGCCACCCCUCCUUCGCCGAAGCAAAGGGACCUGCGACUCUCUCGCACUGAGCUAUCUCUCGCCGGCGAUCUCCUCUCCACCGCGAGAUCUCUCUUGUCGCGACGAGCUCUCCGUCCAACCUAGGGUUUCCCCGGCGCGACGAGCUCUCUAUCCAAGCUAGUGUUUCCCCGCCGCGAGAUCUCUCUUGCCGCGACGAGCUCUUCGUCCAACCUAGGGUUUCCCCGCCGCGACGAGCUCUCCGUCCAAGCUAGCGUUUCCCCAUCGCGAGAUCUCUCUCUCACCACGACGAGCUCUGUUCCCUGCCGCGCCUUUAUCUCUCGCCGACAAGGUCCUUUCCCUUCUUUUAUCAGGCCGCCAGAUUCUUUCUGCACGAGACUGUCUUCUUUUGUUGGUUUGCAUUGUCUGGAUGGCUGUUCAGAUCAAUUUUGCUAUUCAGGAACCAACAGUGCAAGCUGGAAAUUAAGCUGGAAAUGCAGUUCUUGGAUAUAGCAGUGCAAGCUGGAAAUGCAAUUCUUGGAUAUAGCAGUGCAAGCUGAAAAUGUAGUUCUUGCAAGCUGUGCAAGUGGAGAAACAACAAGAGUCACAGGAUCAACAUUAUUAUCAUUCUGUGAAAGUUAGAAUGCAGUGGUGUAUGUAUAGUAAUAUUAUACUAAUGUUCUUGAUAAGAAUCAAGUGUUGUAGGCCAUUAAAAUUUGAAUGUAGUGGUGUUAUAUUAAUAUCAUUUUGUAAAAGCUUAAGGUUGCUCAUGUUGGUCUCACAAGAUCAUCAUUAAUAUCAUUUUGUUCAAAGUGUUCCAUCUUUUGUA